UACAGAGGGUGCGAGCGUUACUCGGAAUUACUGGGCGUAAAGCGUGCGUAGACGGUUAUGUAAGUCAGAUGUGAAAGCCCCGGGCUCAACCUGGGAAUUGCAUUUGAGACUGUGUAGCUACGGUGCGGAAGAGGGAAGCGGAAUUUCCGGUGUAGCGGUGAAAUGCGUAGAUAUCGGAAGGAACACCAGUGGCGAAAGCGGCUUCCUGGUCCAGCACCGACGUUCAGGCACGAAAGCGUGGGGAGCAAACAGG
rnacentral:rRNA from 1 species